GGUUGGUCUGAGUGCAGGGGUGCUUACAACUAAUUGAUCACAACCAGUUACAGAUUCCUUUGUUCCUUCUCCACUCCCACUGCUUCAUUUGACCAGCCUUAA
rnacentral:Y_RNA from 1 species